GAGUUUGAUCAUGGCUCAGGAUGAACGCUGGCGGCGUGCUUCAUACAUGCAAAGUCGAACGAGAAUUUGGAGCUUGCUCCAAAGGAAGUGGCGGACGGGUGAGUAAUACAUAGGGAUCUGCCCUUAGCUGGGGACAACAGUUGGAAACGACUGCUAAUACCGCAUAUGAGAUAAUCUGAAAUGGUUAUCUUGAAAACUCCGGUGGCUAAGGAUGAGCCUGUGCCUGAUUAGCUUGUUGGCGGGGUAAUGGCCCACCAAGGCGACGAUCAGUAGCUGGUUUGAGAGGAUGAUCAGCCACAAUGGGACUGAGACACGGCCCAUACUCCUACGGGAGGCAGCAGUAGGGAAUUUUGCGCAAUGGGCGAAAGCCUGAACCGCAGCAACGCCGCGUGUGUGAUGAAGCCCCUAGGGGUGUAAAACACUGUCAGUAGGGACGAAUUUUGACGGUACCUACAGAGGAAGCACCGGCUAACUCCGUGCCAGCCGCCGC
rnacentral:rRNA from 1 species